UAACGAGCUUGGCAACAGCUAUUCGUUAGUAUUAAUGCAACUGAACAAUAAGUUCAACGGUCACAAGUCCGAAAGUAAAGAUGCAGAGUGGUAC
rnacentral:ribozyme from 1 species